GUGAGGAAUAUUGCGCAAUGGAGGCAACUCUGACGCAGCCAUGCCGCGUGCAGGAAGAAGGCGCUACGCGUUGUAAACUGCUUUUAACCUGGAAGAAACCCCAGGACGUGUCCUGGGUUGACGGUACCGGAGGAAUAAGCACCGGCUAACUUCGUGCCAGCAGCCGCGGUAAUACGAAGGGUGCAAGCGUUAUCCGGAUUCAUUGGGUUUAAAGGGUGCGUAGGCGGAGCGUUAAGUCAGUGGUGAAAUCCUGCAGCUUAACUGUAGACUUGCCAUUGAUACUGGCGCUCUUGAGUGCGCUUGAAGUGGGCGGAAUGUGCCGUGUAGCGGUGAAAUGCUUAGAUAUGGCACAGAACACCAAUUGCGAAGGCAGCUCACUAAGGCGAUACUGACGCUGAGGCACGAAAGCGUGGGGAUCGAACAGGAUUAGAAACCCUAGUAGUCC
rnacentral:rRNA from 1 species